GUGCUUGCUUCAAUAGUACAUAUACUAAAAUUGGAAUGAUACAGAGAGAUUAACAUAACCCCUACACAGGGAUAACACUCAAAUUCGUGAAGCGUUGCAUACUUUU